rnacentral:lncRNA from 1 species
CUCUCAGGCUCUUCUCCAGGAGUAUAAAGGAAAAUGCCAGGCAGCAGAGUGAGGGAGGAAUAAGAUUGCAUUAAUGAAUAAGUAGAAGCAACAAUAGGAUUGGGAAGGAGGAGAAUUGAGAUUGAAAGUCAGAAAACAGAAAAUUGGACUAAUCAAGCAUGAGACUGGAUGCCUGAGGGAAACAAAGCUACAUGAGGUUUGCAGUGAAGAAUGAGACUGGAGUCUGGAAAGCAGUCUCAGCGGAGGAAUCAACUGGUUAAGUUGGUUAUAUUCUCUGUUGGAUACAAAUCAGCAGAAAAGAGGAGCAGUCAGACAUCUCAGUGGGGUGUGAGGGACCCUGUGUUUUCCCUGGUUGAAAUGCUGCCUUGGCUUCUGUGAAGGAAUGGAAGUGGCAUCAGGUGUGCAUCUCUUGUUGAAGAUUUGUAGCUGGAGAUAUUCCCUUGAAUGGGCAAGACUAAUUGUGGAAUUCAGCAUUUGCACAUAGAGCACUACUGUGGUGUCUCAGGAAUGCCUCCUUCAGUGAGAACAGAGAUUGUUGUUCUUUGCCUGGAAUAUAAUUUACUGAAAAAAUCCCAACUGUUUGGCUUCAUCUGGAAUCACUUCAGAGCUGUGAAGAAAGUGUAACAACACACAGAAAGUAAAACUGCUGUCAGUGCCAGUCUGUGAAGAAGUGUUUGCUGAAAAAUUAUUCUAUCUCAAGGUCACUGGCACUUAAAGAGUAUCAGGAAGUUCCAUGACUUUGAAAAAUAAAUAAUUUUUGUCUGGAGUUCUUGGCUGGUGU